GGGAAUCUACCCAGAUCUACGGAACAACAGAGGGAAACUUCUGCUAAUACCGUAUACGCCCUACGGGGGAAAGAUUUAUCGGAUUUGGAUGAGCCCGCGUAAGAUUAGCUAGUUGGUGAGGUAAUGGCUCACCAAGGCGACGAUCUUUAGCUGGUCUGAGAGGAUGAUCAGCCACACUGGGACUGAGACACGGCCCAGACUCCUACGGGAGGCAGCAGUGGGGAAUAUUGGACAAUGGGCGCAAGCCUGAUCCAGCCAUGCCGCGUGAGUGGUGAAGGCCUUAGGGUUGUAAAGCUCUUUCAGUGGGGAAGAUAAUGACGGUACCCACAGAAGAAGCCCCGGCUAACUUCGUGCCAGCAGCCGCGGUAAUACGAAGGGGGCUAGCGUUGUUCGGAUUUACUGGGCGUAAAGCGCACGUAGGCGGUUUGUUAAGUCAGAGGUGAAAUCCUGGAGCUCAACUCCAGAACUGCCUUUGAUACUGGCAAGCUCGAGUCCGGAAGAGGUAAGUGGAACUCCUAGU
rnacentral:rRNA from 1 species